CAGUAGCCACGGUAAUACAGAGGGUGCAAGCGUUAAUCGGAAUUACUGGGCGUAAAGCGCGCGUAGGUGGUUUGUUAAGUUGGAUGUGAAAUCCCCGGGCUCAACCUGGGAACUGCAUCCAAAACUGGCAGGCUAGAGUAGGGCAGAGGGUGGUGGAAUUUCCUGUGUAGCGGUGAAAUGCGUAGAUAUAGGAAGGAACAUCAGUGGCGAAGGCGACCACCUGGACUGAUACUGACACUGAGGUGCGAAAGCGUGGGGAGCAAACAGGAUUAGAUACCCGCGUAGUCCCUGUCUCUUAUAC
rnacentral:rRNA from 1 species